UACGUAGGGUGCAAGCGUUACUCGGAAUUACUGGGCGUAAAGCGUGCGUAGGUGGUGAGUUAAGUCUGUCGUGAAAGCCCCGGGCUCAACCUGGGAAUGGCGAUGGAUACUGGCUCGCUAGAGUGCGGUAGAGGAGAGUGGAAUUCCAGGUGUAGCAGUGAAAUGCGUAGAGAUCGGGAGGAACAUCAGUUGCGAAGGCGGCUCUCUGGACCAGCACUGACACUGAGGCACGAAAGCGUGGGGAGCAAACAGG
rnacentral:rRNA from 1 species